CAUACCACCCUGAACGCGCCCAAUCUCGUCUGAUCUCGGAAGCUAAGCAGGGUUGGGCCUGGUUAGUACUUGGAUGGGAGAAUAUUAUUUCUUGGGUCCAGCACAAUGGUUCACUGGCU
rnacentral:rRNA from 1 species